rnacentral:lncRNA from 1 species
GGAGGGGAGGGGAGGCCGUCGCCGCUGGCUCCGCCCACCGCGUGGUCCAAGGACCACCACCCGCCACCGCCGCGCGAGCGUACUAUUGCGGCCGCCCUCUGCUGCGCCUGAAGAGAGAGGCGACUCUACAAGCCUCACAGCAUGCACUGUUACUAAAAAGACGAUGCGUCCUCCUGGACCUGAGAUCUGUGUGAUCGUGGGAAAGCGACGAAAAACGAACAAAGGAACAGUAAAUGGAGUAACUUGGCUAGAAUAUGGCAGUAACUACAAGGCAUGUUCUGCUCUGGCACGAAGCCCCUGUUCCUUCCAGACAACCCACCUGAGGCACCAGACACAUGAGUGAAGCCAUCUUGGACAUCCCAGUCACAGCCAAACUCACUCCUGAGUGCAUCUGCAUGAUGAACCCAGCAAUCCCCACCAUGGAGCAAAGGAUCCAUCCAGUCAACCCAAAGAAUCGUGAAAAAUAAUAAAUUGUUGUUUUAAAGUUCUUCAGUUUGGGAAUAGCUUGUUAUGCAACAAUACAUAAUUAAUACACUGGUCUCCCACUUUCAAGUUUGAUUAACUUUCAGCUAUUUUUCACAUAGCAGGCAGAGUGAUUCCAUUAAAACAUAUAUCAGAUAAUGUCACUGCACUAAGUAAACUCUACAAGGACUCUCAUCUCCCUCAGAGUAAAGGUCACAGUUGUUACAAGGCCCUACGUAAUGUGGCCCUCACCACCACUCCAUUACCUUUUUCUUAUCUACUAUUUGCUAACUUUGCUUUGUCCUCUUUUCUGUUCUGAAACAGGCUAGGCAUGGUCCUGCCUCAAGGCCUUUGCACCACCUACUCUGUCUGCUUGGAUUGUUCUUCCCACAGAUUUCUUGCUCCCUUCUUCCUUCAUGAAGAAAUGUCAUGAAAUGUCCUUCCUUCAUGAAAUGUCACCUUCUCAUUUGAGGCCUUCUGUAGUACCCCAAAGAAUGGUCCCCAAAGAUGUCCACAUCCUUAUGCCCAGAACCUGUGAAUGUGUUAUCUUAAUGGCAAAAGUGACUUUGCAAAUGUGAUUAUAUUUAAGGAUCUUAAGGAGGAGAUUAUCCUGGAUUAUCCAGGAGGGCCCAAUGUAAUCACAAGGGCCCUUAUAAGUGAAAGGGGGAGGCAACAGAGAGAAGGAGAUGUCAUAAUGAAAACAGAUCCAAGUGAUGAGAUUGCUGGCUGGGGUGGAGGUGGAGGGGGGUACAAUCCAAGGAAUGCAAGAAGCCUCUAAAAGCUAGGAAAUGUCAGGACACAAAUUCUCCCCUAGAACCUGAGGAAGAAACCCAGGUUUAUGGACACUGAUUUUAACCCAAUAAGUCCCUUUUCUGACUGCUGACCUCCAAAACUGUAAGAUAAUAAAUUUGUGUUAUUUUAAGCCAACUGAGUUUGAGAUAAUUUAGUUAUGGCAGCAAUAGGAAACUAGCACACCUUCCUAGCCAUCCUAUCUAAAAUGGCAACCCAUGUCCUUCCUGGCACUUCCUAUCUCCCUUCCAUGUUUUUUUUAAAUCAUAUAUACAAUAUAUUUUACUGUUUUACCUAUUGUCUUUUCCACCAGAAAGUAAACUCCACGUAAAUAAGGAUUGUCUGUUUUAUUCUUUGCAGUAUCUCCACUGCCUAGGAUAGCAUCUGCACAUACUGCACACUCAGUACACAUUUGUCGAAUGAGGUCAGGCGCGGUGGUUCACACCUGUAAUCCCAGCACUUUGGGAGGCCAAGGCGGGUGGAUCACCUUAGGUUAGGAGUUCGAGACCAGCCUGGCCAACAUGGUGAAACCAUGUCUCUACUAAAAAUACAAAAAGUAGUUGGGCAUGGUGGCAUGUGCCUGUAAUCCCAGCUACUUGGGAGGCUGUGGCAGGAGAGUCACUUGAAUCUGGGAGGUGGAGGUUGCAGUGAGCCAAGAUUGUGCCACUCCACUCCAGCCUGGGCAACAGAGUAAGACUCUGGCUCAAAAAAAAAAAAAAAGAAAGAAAGAAAAAAAUACAUAUUUGUUGAAUGAACAAGUGAAUGAACAAAUGUUAUGCAAAUAUAUUAUCCCUAUCUGUAGCUUGCCUUUUAAUUUUGUUAUAGUAACUUUGGUUGAAAGGAAGUUCUAAAAUCUUUAAUAUAAUCAAAUGUAUCAAUCUUUUCAACUUGUAUAUUUUAUGCCUUGUUUAAUCAACUCUGUCUUAUAUCAAAAUUAUAAAAGUAUUACCCUGUAUUUUCUUAUAAAAGUUUUGAAUCUUUUCUUUUUCCACUUAGAUCAUUAAUCAACUUGGAAUUGGUGUUACAUAGUGGUAAAUGAUUGUCCCAGGACCACAUAUUGAAUAUUUUAUCAUUUCUCCACUGAUUUGUAACAACACAGUGGUUAUAUAUCCUGUUUAUACAUGGGUCUGUCUCUAGGUUUCCGGUUCUGUUCCAGUGGUCUGUUUGCUUACCCUUCUACUAAUAGCACAUUGGCCUAAUUACUAUAACUUUAUAAUGUGGCUCAAUCUCUGGAAAACCACAUACCUCUCCCCUCCUCUUUCUACAAUAUUCUUAUAUUUUGCAACUGGCCUUUACUGUUUUGUAUUAUUUUUAACAAUACCUUAUAUACCCACAUAUAUUAGAUGCUCUUAGCAUCACUAUUUAUAGCAUCUAAAAAUUGGAAAUUAUUUAAAUGUCCACCAAUACAUUAGUUAAAUAAAUUAGGUUAUACUCACAUAGUGGAAUACGAUACUGGCUUUCAAAAGAAUGAGGUAAAUUUACAUAUCUACAUUAAAAGGUAUUCAAGAUAUCAGAAAAAAGGGCAAGUUGCAAAACAAUAUUUAGAGUAAGAACCUAUUCAUGAAUUUUUUUAAUGUAAUUUGUGUUACAUGUAGAAAAAAAUAUGGGCAAGAAUACAUCAAAAUGUUAACAGUGGUUAUAUCUGAGGAUCAGGAAUAGGAAGAACAUUCGCUUUCUAAGGUAUGUAUUCCUAUAAUUCAUGGAUAUGACAAUAACCAAGUAUUACUUUUACAAUAGAAUAUAUAGGUUUUAACUUUGGUUAAAGCAAAUAUAUCUUUUUUUUUUUUUUUUUUGAGAUGGAGUCUCGCUCUGUUGCCCAGGCUGGAGUGCAGUGGUGUGAUCUCAGCUCACUGCAAGCUCUGCCUCCCAGGUUCAGGCCAUUCUCCUGCCUCAGCCUCCCGUGUAGCUGGGACUACAGGCGCCCACCACCACGCCCGGCUAAUUUUUUGUAUUUUUUAGUAGAGACAGGGUUUCACCGUGUUAGCCAGGAUGGUCUCGAUCUCCUGACCUUGUGAUCUGCCCGCCUCGGCCUCCCAAAGUGCUGGGAUUACAGGUGUGAGUCACUGCCCCCGGCUGCAAAUAUAUCUUAAUGUUAAAUGUGUAUUUUUCUGAUGAUAAAAUUAUGAGAAAUGUUAUUUUCAUUUUUGUUUUCCAAAUUGUUUACAAUAAGUAUACAUUAUAAUAAAGGUGGAAGCAUUAUUUAGAAAAAUAUUAACAAUGUUUUUUAAUAUUGGGGUAUGGUGAUAUUUUUCCUUCCUCUCUAUAGAGCUCGAGUUUUCCAUGACAAAUUUAUUGCUUAAUAUGCAAGUCUGCUUAGC